CUCGCUGUGUGCCUAAUACAUGCAUGUUGAACGGGAUGUAGCAAUACAUUCAGUAGCGAAUGGGUGAGUAACACGUACCUAACCUACCUUUAAGACUGGGAUAACUAUUGGAAACAAUAGCUAAUACCGGAUAUAGUUAUUUAUCGCAUGAUGAGUAAUAGAAAGGAGCUUCACAGCUUCACUUAAAAAUGGGGGUGCGGAACAUUAGUUAGUUGGUAGGGUAAUGGCCUACCAAGACGAUGAUGUUUAGCCGGGCCGAGAGGCUGUACGGCCACACUGGGACUGAGAUACGGCCCAGACUCCUACGGGAGGCAGCAGUAAGGAAUUUUCCACAAUGAGCGAAAGCUUGAUGGAGCGACACAGCGUGCAGGAUGAAGUUCUUCGGAAUGUAAACUGCUGUUAUAAGGGAAGAAAAAAUAGAAUAGGAAAUGAUUUUAUCUUGACGGUACCUUAUUAGAAAGCGACGGCAAACUAUGUGCCAGCAGCCGCGGUAAUACAUAGGUCGCAAGCGUUAUCCGGAAUUAUUGGGCGUAAAGCGUCCGUAGGUUUUUUGCUAAGUCUGGAGUUAAAUGCUGAAGCUCAACUUCAGUCCGCUUUGGAUACUGGCAAAAUAGAAUUAUAAAGAGGUUAGCGGAAUUCCUAGUGAAGCGGUGGAAUGCGUAGAUAUUAGGAAGAACACCAAUAGGCGAAGGCAGCUAACUGGUUAUAUAUUGACACUAAGGGACGAAAGCGUGGGGAGCAAACAGGAUUAGAUACCCUGGUAGUCCACGCCGUAAACGAUGAUCAUUAGUUGGUGGAAUAAUUUCACUAACGCAGCUAACGCGUUAAAUGAUCCGCCUGAGUAGUAUGCUCGCAAGAGUGAAACUUAAAGGAAUUGACGGGAACCCGCACAAGCGGUGGAGCAUGUGGUUUAAUUUGAAGAUACGCGUAGAACCUUACCCACUCUUGACAUCUUCUGCAAAGCUAUAGAGAUAUAGUGGAGGUUAACAGAAUGACAGAUGGUGCAUGGUUGUCGUCAGCUCGUGUCGUGAGAUGUUAGGUUAAGUCCUGCAACGAGCGCAACCCUUUUCUUUAGUUACUAAUAUUAAGUUAAGGACUCUAGAGAUACUGCCUGGGUAACCAGGAGGAAGGUGGGGACGACGUCAAAUCAUCAUGCCUCUUACGAGUGGGGCAACACACGUGCUACAAUGGUCGGUACAAAGAGAAGCAAUAUGGUGACAUGGAGCAAAUCUCAAAAAACCGAUCUCAGUUCGGAUUGAAGUCUGCAACUCGACUUCAUGAAGUCGGAAUCGCUAGUAAUCGUAGAUCAGCUACGCUACGGUGAAUACGUUCUCGGGUUUUGUACACACCGCCCGUCACACCAUGGGAGUUGGUAAUGCCCAAAGUCGGUGAGUUAACUUCGGAGACCAUUGCCUAAGGCAGGACUGAUGACUGGGGUGAAGUCGUAACAAGGUAUCCCUACGAGAAC
rnacentral:rRNA from 2 species